rnacentral:rRNA from 1 species
UACAGAGGGGGCAAGCGUUGUUCGGAAUUACUGGGCGUAAAGGGCGCGUAGGCGGCCUGUUAAGUCGGACGUGAAAUCCCUCGGCUCAACCGGGGAACUGCGUCCGAUACUGGCGGGCUUGAAUUCGGGAGAGGGGUGUGGAAUUCCAGGUGUAGCGGUGAAAUGCGUAGAUAUCUGGAGGAACACCGGUGGCGAAGGCGGCAUCCUGGACCGACAUUGACGCUGAGGCGCGAAAGCCAGGGGAGCAAACGGG